CUAACUCUGUGCCAGCAGCCCGCGGUAAUACAGAGGGUGCGAGCGUUAAUCGGAUUUACUGGGCGUAAAGCGUGCGUAGGCGGCUUAUUAAGUCGGAUGUGAAAUCCCCGAACUUAACUUGGGAAUUGCAUUCGAUACUGGUGAGCUAGAGUAUGGGAGAGGAUGGUAGAAUUCCAGGUGUAGCGGUGAAAUGCGUAGAGAUCUGGAGGAAUACCGAUGGC
rnacentral:rRNA from 1 species